AGAGUUUGAUCCUGGCUCAGAUUGAACGCUGGCGGCAUGCCUUACACAUGCAAGUCGAACGGCAGCGGGAGCAAUCCUGGGCGAGUGGCGAACGGGUGAGUAAUACAUCGGAACGUGCCCAAUCGUGGGGGAUAACGCAGCGAAAGCUGUGCUAAUACCGCAUACGAUCUACGGAUGAAAGCAGAUCGUUGCGCGAAUGGAGCGGCCGAUGGCAGAUUAGGUAGUUGGUGAGGUAAAGGCUCACCAAGCCUUCGAUCUGUAGCUGGUCUGAGAGGACGACCAGCCACACUGGGACUGAGACACGGCCCACACUCCUACCGGAGGCAGCAGUGGGGAAUUUUGGACAAUGGGCGCAAGCCUGAUCCAGCCAUGCCGCGUGCAGGAUGAAAGCCUUCCGGUUGUAAACUGCUUUUGUACGGAACGAAACGGCCUUUUUUAUAGAGGGCUAUGACGGUACCGUAAGAAUAAGCACCGGCUAACUACGUGCCAGCAGCCGCGGUAAUACGUAUGGUGCAAGCGUUAAUCGGAAUUACUGGGCGUAAAGCGUGCGCAGG
rnacentral:rRNA from 1 species